rnacentral:rRNA from 1 species
AAUUUUUCACAAUGGGGGAAAGCCUGAUGGAGCAACGCCGCGUGAAGGAGGAAGGCCUUCGGGUUGUAAAGUUCUGUUGUCGGGGAAGAAAACGUUUUGUUUGAACAGGGGGGGGGUUUGCCGGUCCCGGAGAGGAAAGCCCCGGAUAAUUACGUCCCCGCGCCCGGGUUAAUAGGUGGGGGGCAAGCUUUUUCGGGAUUUAUUGGGGGUAAAGCGCGCGCGGGGGGCCGUUUAAUUUUGAUGUAAAACCCCGGGGUUCACCCCGGGGUGCAUUGGAAACUGUGCGGCUUGAGUGCAGGAGAGGAAAGCGGAAUUCCACGUGGAGCGGUGAAAUGCGUAGAGAUGUGGAGGAACACCAGUGGCGAAGGCGGCUUUCUGGCCUGUAACUGACGCUGAGGCGCGAAAGCGUGGGGAGCAAACAGGAUUAGAUACCCUGGUAGUCCACGCCGUAAACGAUGUGUGCUAGGUGUUGGGGGUUUUGACACCCUCAGUGCCGCAGCUAACGCACUAAGCACUCCGCCU